AGUUGUUCAUUCUCAGCUUUCUGAUUGUAGCUGAAAUAUGACCCCACCCGCUUCACACUCUUGCUUUCGUGGAGAAGUCCACCACUAGGCUUCCCUACCAUGACAAAACCACAUCCUGAACUGUGAAAAGAAUAAGGCAUAUUGUACAGUCUCUUUGUAAACUGUGAAGUACUGUCAGGGUGCUGGAAUCUCUCAUUUCUGCAGAGAGAUGACUAUAUCCAUCGGGAAGGAUUUCCCACUAGGAGCAGAAGACCCGAGAUUAGUGUAGGUGAUACAAGUUAGAGGUUUUCCAAUUUCUGGGAGUUGUCAUGGUGUUGGUCCAUCAUGCCUGCAGUCCCAGGCAAGAAGACAGAGAAAGUGUUGGGGGUGUUUGGUCAUGCUGGGAUGGUGUCUGUCACCUUUCCUCCAAGGGAACAUGCAAGGACUAGAUCUGUCUAUGUGGUCCACAGAGCACAGCAGUGAUGGCUGAGGGGAUGAAGAAGGAUCUGAGUCUAUCAUGGCUGCAAAGAGUCGUGGCUGUAGGAGCUGGAACCUGACUCACACCUUCACAUGAAAGAAUGAAACAGAGAGCAAACAGGAAGCAAGGCAAGACUAUAAAGAGACAAAGUCCACCCCCAGUGACAUUAAGGUCUUCCACCAAGGUUCCUUCCAUCAACAAGAUUCCACAACCUCCCCCCAUAGGGGACCAAGUGUUCUGAGCCAAUGGAGGACCCUCUCAUUUCAAACUAACACAAAGUGUUAUUUGGACACUUAAUCCAUCUGCUCUCUGAAUGUUGGCUCCUGUUCCCUGGACUCCACCCAUUUCCCUGACUGACAGGCAGAAAUUUGGGACUUUGAACUCAGGGGAUGGAUUUCUAUCUUGGAGCUGUCAGUUUCCUGCUCUGUGGAUGAAUUGUGCCAAAACCCUAGCCUUGUGUAGCUGAUAUGAGAAAGGAUGUCCAGCCAAUAUUUAACACCACAUCUGGCAGACACCAGACUAAUGAAUACCUAAGUUCCCUUGACUUUCUGUCUUGUGUCAGCUUCCCCCCUGCUCCCCGUGCCUUUCUUUUGAGCAGUGGUGAGUCUCCUCUCUUGGGCUUCAUCUUGUAUAAUGUGAAGUUUUGGCAAGGCCCUUCAUAUUUCUCCCUUGCCCAGGGGAGGCUUGCUGAGGGAACACAAAUGACUUUUCUUCAGCACCUGUAUAUACAAUGUCUGAAACUGCAAUAAAAGAGAGUUGGCAAGAGACCCAAA
rnacentral:lncRNA from 1 species